GAUGAACGCUGGCGGCGCAUUUAAGACAUGCAAGUCGAACGAAAACUUUUCAUCGAACGGAAAUGAAGAUUUAUCAGAUUUGAAGUUCACCGAGAAGUUUUAGUGGCGGACGGGUGAGUAAUACGUAGAUAAUCUGCCUUUUAGAGGGAAAUAACAAGAAGAAAUUUUUGCUAAUGUCCCAUAAGACCACACUAUGGCAUCAUAGAGUGAUCAAAGGAGAAAUCCGCUAGAAGAUGAGUCUACGGCUGAUUAGCCAGUUGGUGGGGUAAGAGCCUACCAAAGCUAUGAUCAGUAGCCGAGCUGAGAGGCUGGCCGGCCACAUUGGGACUGAGACACGGCCCAGACUCCUACGGGAGGCAGCAGUUGGGAAUAUUGGACAAUGGAGGAAACUCUGAUCCAGUGACGCCGCGUGAAGGAAGAAGGUCUUCGGAUUGUAAACUUAUUUUGUCAGGGAAGAAACAAAUGACUGUACCUGAAGAAAAAGCACCGGCUAACUACGUGCCAGCAGCCGCGGUAA
rnacentral:rRNA from 1 species